GACGAACGCUGGCGGCGCGCCUAACACAUGCAAGUCGAACGGAGAACUUUUGGAAUGAGACUUCGGUUGAGUGAAGAUUGUUCUUAGUGGCGGACGGGUGAGUAACACGUGAGCAACCUGCCUUUCAGUGGGGAAUAACGUUUGGAAACGAACGCUAAUACCGCAUAAUGUCAUUUAUUCGCAUGAAUGAAUGACCAAAGGAUUUAUUCGCUGAAAGAUGGGCUCGCGUCCGAUUAGAUAGUUGGUGAGGUAACGGCCCACCAAGUCGACGAUCGGUAGCCGGACUGAGAGGUUGAACGGCCACAUUGGGACUGAGACACGGCCCAGACUCCUACGGGAGGCAGCAGUGAGGGAUAUUGGUCAAUGGGGGAAACCCUGAACCAGCGACGCCGCGUGAGGGAAGACGGUUUCCGGAUUGUAAACCUCUGUCUUUAGGGACGAUAGAUGACGGUACCUAAGGAGGAAGCCACGGCUAACUACGUG
rnacentral:rRNA from 1 species